UACGGGGGGGGCAAGCGUUGUUCGGAAUUACUGGGCAUAAAGGGCUCGUAGGCGGCCAACUAAGUCGGACGUGAAAUCCCUCGGCUUAACCGGGGAACUGCGUCCGAUACUGGAUGGCUUGAGUUCGGGAGAGGGAUGCGGAAUUCCAGGUGUAGCGGUGAAAUGCGUAGAUAUCUGGAGGAACACCGGUGGCGAAGGCGGCAUCCUGGACCGACACUGACGCUGAGGAGCGAAAGCCAGGGGAGCAAACGGG
rnacentral:rRNA from 1 species